GAGUGCAACAAUACCCAUGCCUCCUAAUGUGCCAUAUAACCUGUAUCUCGCCUAUUGUGUGUGUGUGUGUGUGUGUGUGUGUGUGUGUGUGUGUGUGUGUGUGUGUGUGUGUGUGUGUGUGUGUGUGUGUGUGUGUGUGUGUGUGUGUGUGUGUGAGUGUUCGUGAAUGUGUUCACGCAGAUAUAAGAAGUUGGGGUUGGGGUUGAUGAUCCACAUGAUGGUGAUGGACCAGGACAGCUCUGGACCUCCUGACUGGCAGCUCCAUCCUCAACCUCCCUUCCUGUCCUUCACACAUGUGCAGGCAGAGGCAGAGACAGGCAGAGGCAGUUUUCUGAAGGAUGGUUAAUGUCAGUACCAACAUGUUGUGAUGGAGGCUUCCACCUGAGCUGAACACAGAAACUUGCACACAGUGAUGGAAGCAGUCGUUCCUGUUCAGCAUUGAUAUGCCGGUAAUGGGUUUGAUGAGCCACAGCAUGGUGAUGGGCAAUCAGCAUCAGGACCAGGGCCGCUCACAAGGAGAACCUCCUGCCCUGCCUCUUCAUCCUCAACCUCCAAUCUUCCUGCUCUUCACACAUGUGCAGGCACAGAGCCAGUUUUCAGAGGGAGGGCUGAUGACACCAGCAACUUCGGAUCUGAACCUGAUCAACCCAGCACCAACCACUGUGCCGCUCCUCCUCUGCCAACUGCACCACAUGGCUCCACCAUCUCAAAAAGGCACAGACACUACUCCACUUCCUGCGAAGGAUGAGAGAAGAGCCGACCUCCCCACAACGGCACUCACCACCUUCUACAGGGGUGUCAUUGAGAGCAUCCUGACCAGCAGCCUCUCUGUCUGGCAUGGCAGCCGUCAAGCUGAAGACUAGGGGUGCAUCCCAAUAUGUGA